CCACGGUAGGAGAUGAUCGAUAAAUUCGAACCAGAACGACGGAACUGACAAGUGAUCGUUCAGCAUCCACCGGAUUCGAAGACUCGAUUGUGAAGUAACUAUUACAAGUGAAGAUGCCGGGACCAGGUUGCGAUAAGUGCACAGACAAGUGCCAACAAUGUCAGUGCGGCGACAAAUGCAAGUGUUGCGAUUCCGGAUGCGGAGAUAAUUGCAACUGCAAAUCUGGCGGACAAUGUGGUUGCAAGUCUUGCAAAUGCUAAACACCAAGCUGGAUACUAACCUGAAAAUGGAUGCUGCAAGAUCUUAGACGUUCUUAUCUACCUAGGCCGAUUGCAUUAUCAUUAUCAAUUAAUAUUAUGAAAGUAAUAUCCAUGAAAAGAUCAACUACUAGUAUUAUAUAAGCAGCCAUUAUAUUGAAUAAAAGUAUUAAAUGUUA